rnacentral:rRNA from 1 species
GUUAUAUGGUCAAGUGAAGAAGCGCAUACGGUGGAUGCCUUGGCAGUCAGAGGCGAUGAAAGACGUGGUAGCCUGCGAAAAGCUUCGGGGAGUCGGCAAACAGACUUUGAUCCGGAGAUGUCUGAAUGGGGGAACCCAGCCAUCAUAAGAUGGUUAACCUUGGCAGUCAGAGGCGAUGAAAGACGUGGUAGCCUGCGAAAAGCUUCGGGGAGUCGGCAAACAGACUUUGAUCCGGAGAUGUCUGAAUGGGGGAACCCAGCCAUCAUAAGAUGGUUAUCUUACGCUGAAUACAUAGGCGUAAGAGGCGAACCAGGGGAACUGAAACAUCUAAGUACCCUGAGGAAAAGAAAUCAACCGAGAUUCCCUUAGUAGUGGCGAGCGAACGGGG